AUGUAUCAGAUGAGAAAGUUGUGGUGUGCUCCAUAUCUUGAGGGGCGUUGUUUCCUAGGAUUGAGCAGCAAUCAAAGGAGUGAGAGCUUGAACUCUGUGCUACAUACGCAUCUUGAGGGUAAGAUGUCGUUGUUUGAAAUGCUAGAGCACUAUGAGCGUUGCCUUGCGUCGCGACGGAUUAACGAAGCUCUCCAUGACGUCGAAGCCUUGCAGUCCGUUCCAUUUACAGAGGAAAAUGCUUCGCCGCUUGAGAAACACGCCGCAACAGUUUUCACACCUAGGGUCUUUAAGAUGGUCUUAUGGAGCAUAGAUGCUGUCAGCAAAUGUCAGAUUGGAGAGAUACUAGAUGGAUCAGAAGAUUCCACUUAUGUUGUGUCCAAGCAGGAAAGAAUGGAUAAAAAGUUUGGAGUGCGCAUUGAAGAGCAAGGAGGUCUUUUGCACAGGGUGAGUUGUUCUUGCCGUAAGCUGGAAUGCGCAGGCACACCAUGUUCCCACAUUUUUUACAUAUUGGGGAUUUUAAAACAAACAAUUCUUCCCGGUUGUUGCGUUCCCACUAGGUGGACUAUGAAUGCAAAAUGU
rnacentral:rRNA from 1 species